GACGAACGCUGGCGGCGUGCUUAACACAUGCAAGUCGAACGGAAAGGCCCUGCUUUUGUGGGGUGCUCGAGUGGCGAACGGGUGAGUAACACGUGAGUAACCUGCCCUUGACUUUGGGAUAACUUCAGGAAGCUGGGGCUAAUACCGGAUAGGAGCUCCUGCUGCAUGGUGGGGGUUGGAAAGUUUCGGCGGUUGGGGAUGGACUCGCGGCUUAUCAGCUUGUUGGUGGGGUAGUGGCUUACCAAGGCUUUGACGGGUAGCCGGCCUGAGAGGGUGACCGGCCACAUUGGGGCUGAGAUACGGCCCAGACUCCUACGGGAGGCAGCAGUGGGGAAUAUUGCACAAUGGGCGGAAGCCUGAUGCAGCAACGCCGCGUGCGGGAUGACGGCCUUCGGGUUGUAAACCGCUUUCGCCUGUGACGAAGCGUGAGUGACGGUAAUGGGUAAAGAAGCACCGGCUAACUACGUG
rnacentral:rRNA from 1 species